AGAUUAGCAAGAAGCCCUGCAGUUACUGGAGCGUAGCGAAGGGUUUUGAGCAGGGGAUCAGCACCUGCUUUUCAGCUUUCAUUGGAGUUUCUCUUCAGCCAUCAGAAGAGUAAAGGAAAACCAGAAACUGCCAUCAGAAUGAGCAGCAUGAUUAUACAUCAGUAACAAGCAAAUUGCUUGUCAAAAAGUAAGUUUUCUUGAGACUUCCUUGGAAAGAUCAGUUCCCUGAUGUGGUUCACGUCACAGCACGAGUGGUAAGAACUUGGGCUGUGGUCUUCUGAUCAAUGAAAAUGGAAUGUCCUUCAUCACAGAAGUUGAUGGGAGAUUUCUCUUUUCCUUGGCAAUUCUGUGGAAGAUCCAUAUUUCACCAAAGUUGUACAGAAACCUUUCAACACAGAUGUGAUAUUUUGACCUACAGAACGAUCCAUGUACUUGGUGGCACAGCAGAUUCCUCUUAUUUUUCAGUCUGAAAGAAGUCUCAUGAGCAGCUGGAAAUAUCAGGUUUUUACAAAUAUUCAAAAUUUGCUAAUGAUCUUGGGAAGAUCUUCAACCAGAUUAUUCUUAUGCCACAAAUCUCAGCUAGCGAGUUCUGCUCAACAAAAUAUUUACAUAUGCACUUAGCUUUAUAAAUAUAAAACAAGAACUUUGCCUUUCCUAGCCAUGUUUCUUUAACUAGAUUCACUGGGUCGAGACCUAACAGAGGCUGGUGGAGGAGGAGCUAAAGCAAAAAAACUAGAAAGUUGGGUUAUUCAUGGUCGGAUCUUGCAAACAAAAUUGUUUUUAAAAAGUUUGGCAUCAAUGAAUAUGGUUAUCUCUAGAUGCAACAAAUGUCAGCAUGACUGCUCAUAGAUCAGAGUACUUGGGAUCCUUUCAGAGGGCCUCCAACUUGCAUUGUAGUUCGGCAUUUUCUUGCAUUCAUAUACUCACAACAUCUUUAAGCUAUUUAAAUCCAGAUUAGUUUUCUCUUGAUCCUUAAUUAUAUCCCUUCAAAACAAAUUUCCAUCUGUUCUUCUUUAAAGAUUUCAACAUCUUAUCUUGGAAAAGAAGCAGAACAAAAUGCAGUCUAUUUCCUUGAUAAUUAAAUAACAACGAUUUAUAAAUAAAUAAAUAAAUGUAUCUUUCCUUUAUAAAAUGUAUCUUUCCAGGUUCAGAGAAGCUGCACUUCCUCCAUUCUCAGGAGAUUUACAAAUAAAAAACCAAGACAUUUGUGAUGUUUAUGAAACUUCAGUUUUGAUAACAGAUAGAUACAGUUUUUUCUCAUACUGUUGGCUUUUGUUUGGACCUAAAUUGAGAACAAGUGUGUCUAAAUACAGUCAGCAGAAUCUGCAAAGAUUGAUCUUAGUUAUUAGCCUGGUUGUUUCCAGAUUCCCUUUCAAAUAUAUAUCUUCAAAAUAUGUCUAACUUGUAAAGAAAUAUAGGAAUCUGGAAGGUAAUAGUUCUUUUCACACUGUGGACACCAAAUAACUUCUUUUAUUUUAUAACUGCUAUAACUUGCCCCUCCCUAACAAAAAGCUUCUGACAGAAUACAUAUUUAUGUAAGUUACAGAAAAAUAAAAUAUGUAUUUCAGUG
ensembl:lncRNA